GACGGAGGAUGCAAGUGUUAUCCGGAAUCACUGGGCGUAAAGCGUCUGUAGGUGGUUUGAUAAGUCAACUGUUAAAUCUUGAGGCUUAACCUCGAAAUCGCAGUCGAAACUAUUGGACUAGAGUAUAGUAGGGGUAAAGGGAAUUUCCAGUGGAGCGGUGAAAUGCGUAGAUAUUGGAAAGAACACCAAUGGCGAAGGCACUUUACUGGGCUAUUACUAACACUGAGAGACGAAAGCUAGGGUAGCAAAUGGG
rnacentral:rRNA from 1 species